CAGAUACAGGCGACAUGGGGAGUACGGAUCCUUGAAGAAAUGGAUUUGCAUUUUGCAGCUGUGUAUAAUUGAGCGCAAGUGUGCUUUAUUUGACAUUGGGGAAUUAGAAUGCACUGUCGAGCACUUAUUUGGACAGACACUUGCUUAACUACAGUCAAUGCCCUCUUAACUGUUCGGCAUUUGCCUGAAAAUAUCAACCCCCCUCUCCACCUUAAAGUAAUGUGCUACCAAAUUACAAGUGGCUCGCCUACUUUAAAUUAUGAUCAUUCAUUUGCCUGUUGCCCAUGACUGUGCCCCGGCAUCAGCAUCACUGAUAUUGGUGGCACAAUAACAUGCUCACUGUUGCUUUGACAGAGAGGAAAAGAAAAAAAAACGGUUACGGCAGCAAUGUUCUACCGCCAAAACGGCAGCAAUGUUCUACCGCCAAAAGCUGCUUAGCGCCAAAAGCUUCCUUUAAGCAGUUCUACCACCAAAUGUUGCUGUGUUUUCCUUUCCUUGUGAAGUCAUUUCUCAUCAGAGCUGAGGUGCCAGGAGGUCAUAUUCAAAAAAACUGAAGUACUGACAACUUGCUGGUAAAUCGCAUAAUAGUGACUUUGGGCCAAGUUGAAGACCUUUUUUAUAUACGCCUCUUUCAGAAUUCAUAAAAAGAAAAGCCAGUGGAGAAAAAUUCUGGCUUGGACUUAGUGAUCUUGACCAAGAAGGAAACUGGCAUUGGGUUGAUGGUACAACUUACAACGGAAAAAAUACAUUUUGGAACAAAGGAGAACCCAACAGCUCUGGUGAGGAGGAUUGUGUCCAACUUUGGACCAACGGCUUUUGGAAUGAUGUGCCAUGUUCAUUACAGUUCAAAUUCAUCUGCCAAAAAUCAGCUUGAGAAACUGAAAAUCAGUCCUCAGAUUUACUUUUACUUUAUAAUGCAAUGCUUGCUGGCACAAAAUGCUGUAAAAUAAAUAUGAAUUGAUUAGUAAA